rnacentral:tmRNA from 1 species
GGGGACGUAAAGGUUUCGACAGGGGCACGUGUAUCAUAGGAAGCGGGUCGGCGUGUCAUCUGGCCGUAAAACGGUGAAAAACAUUUUAAACGCAAACGAAGAUUUUGCAUUAGCUGCAUAAGCUACGCCCCUCAGUUCUGAGCCUGUAAGAAUUGAGACGGCGUCAAACCGCAGGCUGGUUCUUAGCAAAUGUCCAUAUGCUGAGAGCGAGAACCUAUGGACUGGGGUUGUCUAGUUUGUUAUUGUACGAAAGCAGCCUGAGAUAUAAACAAUGACUGCACCCGGAGAGGCCUGUGGGGCAGUGCUUUUGGACAGGAGUUCGAUUCUCCUCGUCUCCACCA